UACGUAGGGGGCAAGCGUUGUCCGGAUUUAUUGGGCGUAAAGAGCGUGUAGGCGGCCAUACAGGUCAGCUGUGAAAACUCGAGGCUCAACCUCGAGACGUCGGUUGAAACCGUAUGGCUAGAGUCCGGAAGAGGAGAGUGGAAUUCCCGGUGUAGCGGUGAAAUGCGCAGAUAUCGGGAAGAACACCCGUGGCGAAGGCGGCUCUCUGGGACGGUACUGACGCUGAGACGGCGAAAGCGCGGGGAGCGAACGGG
rnacentral:rRNA from 1 species